AGCUGUUUAUGCUGCCGCGAAAAUGUGUGGGGCUGUGAUUUGAAGCUGACGUUGAUUUUGGGUCGAGUCAAAAGGAUUUUUGAGAGGCGUUUGGACUAUAGUUUCAAUUUGUCGAGAGGCUAGCCACCACGUGUUCCAGGUUGAGACUCGAUACUCUGCUGACCCUAUGUUGUAAGUGUGACCAGACACUGUGAAAGCUCCAGAUGAGCUCGGCCCCGUGAAUAUACACCAGUGAGGGUGUUGGAUGUGAAUUAUGAUUAUGAUUGUGAAUAACUCGAGUUGGGGAUGCACGACAGAGGGACAGUCCAAUGGUUAGCUACCAGGACUUGUCGGGUUGGCUUUAUAACCGACAGAUGAGACUCAUCAGCCACUAGGACAGGCAUUCAUCAUAUGCAUCUAUGUGACAUUGUUUGGGUGUGCAUAUUGUACUUGGUUUGCCUUUGUGAUUACUUGUGAUUAACUGCUAAUUGUUCUACUUGUAGUAACUGUUUGUUUGUGCUUGAAAUUUCCUAUUUGUGUUUGCGACUGAGACUCUAUUGGACUGUGGUGAUUGGUUGUUGUUUGGGUUGUCUGGGUCUAGAGCCGUGGUUGAUUAUGAGGUGGGCCGAAGGCCAUGUCUGGUUGAUGUUUCUGGUUUGGAAAAGUAUGAAAAACUAAUUUGGUACAGUAUAGAUAAACCUUUUGAAAGGCUUUUGAAUUUUUAAGAAAUGAAUAGUUCCUCUUUUGGAAAAGAUUUCAGAUUUUUCUUUUAUAGUAAACCUUUGCUUUUGAAAAGAUGCAUAAGGCGGUUAUUAAUCACUGUAACAAUCUUAUCUCGCGUAUCCCAUUAUAGUAAUUCUGCAACCCUAUAGUGAGAACCCUUUCGAGGAUGAUGUUCUCACUCCCCUACAGGUCUUUU